rnacentral:lncRNA from 1 species
CCAAAACAAGAAUGGGCAAGAGAGGGAGCACCUUGAUCAACCACAAGCCAAAACUAGCAGAAGCCUGUACAUUAACUAAGAAAACAAUUGAAGAAAAGCUUCCCUCAGGGUAGGUUCUAAAACUAUGCAGAUCCAAAAUGAGUUUAAAGAGUUUUGAAAAUUGGAAAGCUAUCAUUGCGACUGCAAAGGCUAUGAUAAUGAGUUAAAAGAAGAAGUUUUGGAACAUGCUAUUACUUAGUUCCUUCACUCUGCAAUUAUAGUUGUAACUUUGCUUGAAUCUUGUUGCAAAGAAAAGAGAAUAACAAAUGACUUUUUGGAGCAGGGAGCUCCUGAAAUUUCAACUCUGCACGUCCCCUUAUCAGUCUAUUUAUGCGCUUGCUAUUGAAGAAGGACCUUAUCCUUUCCCCAAGAUAAACACUACUCAGCUCUAAAGACGCACAUAAAGGAGUUAAAAUUACUUCCAGAAAUGUCUUUCUCCACUGUAUUCAAGUUGUGCUGUUAGUACAAUUCAGCGGCCUCCUGACUUUCAGUGAGCUGUGUCAGGCUACUAUGAUGGCCACCAGCACAGGAUUCUUGCCCCUUUUGUCAGUUACCAAAUACAAGAAGAAAGAAAGGUGUGGUGGUGUGUAAUCUGGUGUUCCCACCAGCAGCGACCAUCUGCAGCCAAUGGAAAUGUGAGGAAAAGGAGGAGGCCUAGCUUUCAAACCCCAAAUCCCACAAGUGCUAUAAACCUUCAAGAGAGGAAUUCAACUCUUCUUGUCAAAGAAAUAGGACAGAGUAAAAAAAGUAAGGGAAGAAAAAAAAAUUCCUAAGCUUUUUUUCCCUGCUAAUUUUCUAUUCUACAGUCCUCAGUUUCCCUGAGCAUUUGAGCUUAUAGUAGCUUUGAACUAUAUUAUGAAGGAAAGCUUAGGACUUAUUUCCCUCAUUGAACAAAGUGACUUUGGGUCAUAAUGCAAUCAAUUAAUUUUUAAAUUUGCCCUUUUAUAACCAUAUUACUGAGAGGUGAAGCCAGCUGGACUUCCUGGGAUGAGUGGGGACUUGGAGAACUUUUCUGUCUAGCCAGAGGAUUAUAAACGCACCAAUCAGCACUCUAUAUCUAGCUAAAGGAUUGUAAACACACCAAUCAGCACUCUGUAAAAACGAACCAAUCCGUGCUCUGUGUCUAGCUAAAGGAUUGUAAACUUACCAAUCAGCACUCUGUAAAAACGCAGCAAUCAGCGCUCUGUGUUUAGCCAAAGGAAUGUAAACACACCAAUCAGCACUCUGUAAAAAUGCACCAAUCAGCACUCUGUGUUGAACUAAAGGAUUGUAAACACACCACUCAGCACUCUGUAAAAUGGACCAAUCAGUGCUCUGUAAAAUGGACCAAUCAGCGCUCUGUAAAAUGAACCAAUCAGCAGGACGUGGGGAGGGCCAAAUAAGGGAAUAAAAGCUGGCCACCCCAGCCAGAAGCAGCACCCAGCUGAGGUCCCCUUCCAUGCUGUGGAAGCUUUGUUCUUUUGCUCUUCACAAUAAGUCUUGCUGCUGCUCACUCUUUGGGUCUGCACCAUGUUUAAGAGCUCUAAGACUCGCCAUGAAGGUCCAAGAUUUCAUUCUCGAAGUCAGUGAGACCACAAACCCACCAGAAGGAAGAAACUCCGGACACAUCGAAAGGAACAAACUCCAUACCUACCAUCUUUAAGAGCUGUAACACUCACUGCCAAGGUCCACGGCUCCAUUCUUGAAGUUAGCAAGACCAAGAACCCACCGGAAGGAACCAACCACAUUUUCAUUGCCAUAUUGUAUUACCCUCCAGUUAAUAUAUAUAUACACACACACAAUAAGCAAUCAAAAUAUCAAGAGAUUUAGAGGUCAGCAUUAUCACUUGCUCCUACUUUCUAUUACAUAUAAUAUUCAAAUAUCACUAUAGAAAUUUUAGCCCUCUGCUUGAGUCAUGAAUUACCUUUUCAUACACCAAAAUAUAGUAAUUUUGAAGAAGCAAAUGAAAAUGGUUUUUUCUAGAACUAAGCUGCUGCUUCAAAGUGAGAAGAUUAUUUGCAGUAUUAUAUAUUCUAUGCUGGAAAAGAUCUGAUUGAUAAUGAUAUCGAAUUUCAGCUUCAUGAUAUCAUUUCAGGGAGUCUUAAUUUACAGGUACUACUUUAUUCUUGGAAUUGGCAUUGAAAAAUAAGUUUGCCUAUUUCAAUUGGGCUCUUUCUGAAAUUGCUUAGAAACAGUUACUGAAAUGGAGUUAGGACUCCAAAAUUUUAAUAGGGAAAAAAAGCCUGAGAAAGAUGCAAAAAGAAGUAUGAUUGGGUAGGGGUUACUGUCAGACUGCAAUGCAUACUUGAACAAAUCUUUCCAAAUGAAGAAGGAGGCCCAGAGAAGGACUGCUCACUAGAGGAGUCCCAAGUAGGGUAGAAAUGACUGGUUUGUUUUUUUAUCCACUGCCUUGCUCUUUUAUGGGCUACAGUUUGUCACAAGAAGAGCAUAGCCUUAGCUUACAAUCCAAAUUGGACACUGAGUUAACAGUUAACUGCAUUUCUUGCAAGAGAGCAUUAAGUUUUCUUCUGAAAGGAGGUUUGAGCUGAGCAUUUACAUGUCUGAGAGUAAACCUGCAACAAGGAGAUUUGUGAAAAGAAUUACAGUCCCAUCUUUGCAUUUGGUCUUGGGACUGCAAAUAAUACUUAUCAUUUUCUUUCCCACUAUUCAUUCUAAAUUAUUCUCUCCUUAGCUACCACUUCUUCCAGUCCCUGUAGUUUGCCUGAUAGUUUGACCUAAACCCUUAUUUCAGAGGCAUCUGAAUAACUGAUAACCUUUCUCCAGAAUUAGUUAUUGCAGGUGUUCAUUUACAGUCACAGUUGGCAAAGAUAUACCAAGAGAUAAAAGAGAUUUUUGCCUGAAUUUAACAUAUGCACCUCUGUGCCACUUCUGAGUAAAUACAGAGAGUUACCUUUGCCUAAUCAGGGUCAACUACCUCUGUUGAGAUGAAUACUCCCCUUAUUGCAUAUUGGUCCCUGGACAUAAGGAGCCCAAAGUUUCUAGCCAGCAGCCAUAGCUUUUAAGUCAAGGAAACCUGAUCUGUCCCAAGGUAAGAGUGCACACUCUGAGGAUCAGAGUUACAGGGACAGGAAGUACAAGUCCCUUAGUGAGUCAAUAGAAGUGAUAAGUUGGCCAAGUUUGCCCCUGCCCUCAGUUUCCCCAACACACGUAUUCUUUCUAUAGGAGACAAAGUACCCUUUGAUGCAAUGCUCUCUAGUUUUAUGUGUACACUAUGCCCUGGAGGAUGGCAACCAAUAUUUACAUGCUAUUUCCUCCAAGAUGACACUUCAGUGUGUCUUUGAAACAUACCAUUCUAAUACUCUAUUAUUCUAAUACUUCUAGACAGAGCUGCUGGUGGUAGGGGUAUGUGAUAUGAUCAAUAGAUCCCAUGGUCAUAGGACCAUCCAGUAUCUUCUACACUGUUGAAUUGAUUUCCCGUUUAAAUGUUGUGCUUGAGAAUCAGAUUUGUAAGUUCCUUCAAGGAGUGCUAGCUGAAGCUCUGUGGGUAGCAAAGGCAAAAUUAUAGCUGAAAUUGUGGUCUAUUCCUGUAAGAACAAAUUGAGAUACUUCCCAUCACGGCCAGUUCAUCUCUUCGAGUAGUAACAUCUAACUGGGGCUGUUAGUCUAUGUUGCUGACAGGUUGCACUAUCAAAAGCAGAAGUAGCUAGAUCAGUAAGGGCAAGUGGUCCAUGUUGUUGGAAUAAUGCAUAACUUGAUUAUCUGAAACCAUGAUGCCACAAAAUUCUUAAUAAUUUUCUCUUGGAACUUGUGUUUUGUAACUGAAGUCCGAUGAGACAGUACAACGUACAAGUAAGCAUAGGAGAUAUGCACAGUAUCUGAGUCCACCACAAUUCUCAAUAGUGCAUUUAUAUGUAGUGUUCAUGAUGAGUCACGAAAACAAAAUUUUGUGGAUUGGUAAUGUGUGGGAGCUUAAGGAGGCCCAAAGCAGUGAGGACAAGGAAAGCAUGUUAUGUCUGCUACUCAGUAAGCACAGGUGUUGAUGCCCCUGAAUCAUCGUGUUCAAGCCAGAAUUUGCUUUGCUGACAGAAUAGCAAUAACAUCAUGGAUUGUGUUGUUCAAAAAAUAUGUUGAAGUAUUAACUUCCAGUACCUGAGAAUGUUAACUUAUUUAGAGGUAAGGUUAAAAUCCUGACCUCCAGAACUAUGAGACAAUGUGUUGCUGCUGCUUAAGCCACAUAGUUUGUGGUACUUUAUUACAUCAGCCCUAGGAAACUAAUUCAGAUGAUGUAAGAAACAUGAAAGCACAGGGAACACUAUUAAAUGUUUUCUUUCCUGUAUUACCUCCCUGUAUUACUUCUGCAUAGUUGUCAACCUCUAAUGCUGGAAAUGGCUACACAGGAAGGAAAAGAAAAACAAAGUAACCCAUAGUUUCUUUUCCUUUAGUUCUUUCUUGUUUCUCAGUAAAAGGCAGAAUGUUGAUAUAAUGUGCAAAUAUCAAAAAGGGAAAAAAAAGAGUUAAGUCAGAUUGGGUAGCAUGUCCAGUGUUCUAGCAAGAACAAAAUAAAUAUGCAAGUAUGAAAUAUAAGUUGUUUAUUAAUUGCACUCUGGUUUUUAUUAUCCAUCUGUGGGGUAUUGAUGCAACUGAGAUAUAAACAUCAGAUUCCAUUAUUUUCUUAUUUAUUAUUUUAUGCAUACAUUAUAGAUGCCUCAGUCAUCACACCAGUUAAUGCAACCUCCUACAUUGACAAAUUUUUCCAGGAAGACAAGUCAAUUUUUUUUUUCCAUUUGGAUCUUCACCUUAUGCUAGAGGGUGGGUCUGCCCUCCUGAAGACACAAGAUGAGACCCUAAUGCUCUAGUAGUCAGCAAGUGAUCUCAUCUAACUACUUCCUCUCCUGGACCAUUCCCAGCAUCGAUAUGGUGGUUGGGUUCUGAGACAGAUUUAGGAAGGCAAAAAGGAUUAUUUGGGUUAUAAUCCCAAAGAAAAGAAAAGCGUCAAAGCUUGAUUGGGCAGGGCAGCCAUCAAAUUAGAAACAGUCCUGACAAAAUCUUUUCCCUGAGAAAAGAAUAUAUUGGCUAAGAAGCUGAAGCAGACCCUGAGGCAGCUAAUCAUUGUGUUCAAAGCUGGGCAGAGAGUCUUUCCCAAAAAAGUAUUUAAGCAAAAAAAGCUGUGUUUUCCACAUUACCUACUUUUUCUAUCAACAUUUCAAAAGGAAAUUUGUAAGUAUUAAAUAUUAUAUUGCAGUAAUAACCGGAAGUUUACCUUUUUGAGAAAAGUUCCCAUCCACCUUAGCAGUUCUUACUUAAAAAAAUGGUUAGUAGUCUCAAUUCUUCUUGCUAGCAGAGAAGAGACAAACUUAAUAGGUCAAGAAAUCUUUAAGUCUUUGAAGGAGAAUGGUGUCUUGGAAUAAAAAAAAAAACUAAUUUUAAUGAGAAUAUCACAUAUAUUCUCAUUAAAAAUCUAUCUUAGAUCUAAAUUGGUGUUUUCAUCAAAUGCUAGGAGAAGUGUGGUAGCUGUUAUCAGAAUUACAGUGAGAUUCUAGAUUUUUUGCAUAACGAGUGUAGAGUAUAUAAACUCAAUAUAUUUUUGCUAAAUUAAUUAGGAUUGGGAAAAUACAUUGUGGAACAAGUAAAACAUUGUCAGAACUCAAUGCAAUACAAAAUUAAUUUCUCCUUUUUUUCAUAACUCUUUAAGCUAAUUAAGUCCUUGUCCACCAAAGACAGGAAGCCCUCUAGUCCAACUUCCUUUCAUCUAUUAGAAUUACCUCUACACAAUGCUGGAGGUUGGGCCUGGUCAGAGGUGAUUGGAUCAUGGAAGUGAAUUUUCCCUUUGGUGUUGUUCUCAUGAUAGUGAGUUAUCAUGAGAUCUGGUUGUUUAAAAAUGUGUAGCACCUCCCACUCCUCUCUCUUUCUCUUGCUCCUGCCAUGUAAGACAUGCCUGCUUCCCCUUCACCUUCUGCCAUGAUUGUAAGUUUCCUGAGGCCUUCCAAGCCAUGCUUCCUGUAGAGCCUGUGGAACUGUGAGUCAAUGAAACCUCUUUUCUUUAUACAUUACCCAGUGUCAGGUAUUUCUUUAUAGCAGUGCAAGAGCAGACUAAUACCCUGAAGGACAGGAUUUAUACAUGAUUGCAAAACUGAAAUAAUUAUUAGUUACUUCACUGGCUAUCAGUAUAGAAGUGUGCUAGAACACUGAGGAAAUUUUACAUUUCUCAUUACCAUAGAAAUCAGAAAUACAUGGCCGAAUUACAAUAUUUAUUAUGGUGUACCAUGAGAUGUGAUGCAGUAAGUGCUAUUAAACAAAAUAGAAUAUCAUACAUGCAAUUUGUUGAUCUGUUAAGGACAUGUUAAGUUUAAAAUAUAAUAGUGUAUUUAAUAGCCCUAAACAAUAUUAUUGAGAUUUUUAACUUAUAUGGUCCUUUAAACAAUAUACUGUCUGUAUCAGCUUCAUUUUACCUUUGGUGUACCAUUGGUCUUUCCCUAAAGAGAGUACAAUGACUAAAACCCAGAUUGUGAUUUAUCUUUCUGCAAGAACCUGUCCCAUGCAUUUUGCAGCUUUUCUUGUAAAGUAGAUCGAUUAUCUAUCUGGCGGUACUCAGUUUUCAGCCUUACAUGGAUGUGUUGGAGGCCAAAUUGCAUGUGCCUUCUUUACACUGGGCAGGUGCUCUCCAAUGGACUUAGUUGUCAGCAUUGUUUCUUAUAAACAGCUUGUAAGAACUCCUUGUAAUGUUGAGUUUAUACGUUCUGAACAUUAUUAUUAUUAUUAUUAUUUUGAUACGGAGUUUCACUCUUGUUGCCCAGGCUGGAGUGCAGUGGCACGAUCUCGGCACACCGCAACCUCUGCCUCCCGGGUUCAAGUGAUUCUCCUGCCUCAGCCUCCUGAGUAGCUGGGACUACAGGCAUGCACCACUAAGUCCAGCUAAUUUUGUAUUAUUAGCAGAGAGGGGGGUUUCUCCAUGUUGGUCAGGCUGGUCUCGAACUCCCAACCUCAGGUGAUCUACCCACCUGGGCCUCCCAAAGUGCUGGGAUUACAGGCGUGAGCCACGGUGCCCGGCCUGAACAUUAUUUUAAUAGCUAUAGAACUAUAAGCAAUGGAUGUGCCAUGAUUUAUUUCAUAAAUCCUUUUAGAUUGACUUUAGUAUUGAUUGGAUGUAUGUUUUUUCUGUUGUAGAGUUGCAUCAAAUAACUCUGGACAAAAUAUUCACCCAUUUCUUAAACAUCCACCCAUUUCGUAAACAUUUCUUGUGAUGAACUCUUAAACUAGAUGUAGAAUUGCUGGAUCAGAAUAGACUUAGAGAUUUUAGAAACACUUUAGUCUUUCGGAUCAUCAUCAGGCCCAUGAAAGCAUCCUGUAUUUUUCGUUUGCACUAUGUUAAGCCAAACACUGACCACUGCAUAUGUAAAAACAAAUUUUAAAACAUAAUUGGUCAAAAAUUGUGUAGUAGUUAAUUUUCAUUGUAGAAAAAAAUAAAAUAAAGAAAAAUUUAAAGGAAAAAUAAAUGUACAUAUAUGUUUGAGAAUUUUAUAAAUGAGGAAAAAAAAUUAAAAAAUUGUCCUGUGGAAUAUGUGGACCUAUUACUAAAAAUAGCUUCUCAAAACGUUGUUAGCACCUCCUAGUUCUCUCUCUUUCUUAUUACUCACCAUCUGCAACCUUGUCCUUACAGAGUUUUUUACAGUAAUGUCAUGCUUAUGUUUACAGAUCUCAGCCUCACAUCCUCAAUAGAACAUUCCCAACCCUCUUCACAGUGUACACACAGGCACUCUCUCUUUGUUACACACACACACACACACACACAGACACACACACACACACACCCUUUCCCUUAUUCGGGGGUGAGGGGAACAAGAAGAAGCUAUGAGGCCCCAAUCUAAAAUGAUAAAGAAUAC